rnacentral:rRNA from 1 species
CAGCAGCCGCGGUAAAACGGAGGGUGCAAGCGUUAAUCGGAAUUACUGGGCGUAAAGCGCACGCAGGCGGUCUGUCAAGUCAGAUGUGAAAUCCCCGGGCUUAACCUGGGAACUGCAUUUGAAACUGGCAGGCUAGAGUCUUGUAGAGGGGGGUAGAAUUCCAGGUGUAGCGGUGAAAUGCGUAGAGAUCUGGAGGAAUACCGGUGGCGAAGGCGGCCCCCUGGACAAAGACUGACGCUCAGGUGCGAAAGCGUGGGGAGCAAACAGGAUUAGAUACCCGCGUAGUCCCUGUCUCUUAUAC